CCUACGGGAGGCAGCAGUAGGGAAUCUUCCGCAAUGGACGAAAGUCUGACGGAGCAACGCCGCGUGAACGAUGAAGGCCUUCGGGUCGUAAAGUUCUGUUGUUAGGGAAGAACAAGUGCUAGUUGAAUAAGCUGGCACCUUGACGGUACCUAACCAGAAAGCCACGGCUAACUACGUGCCAGCAGCCGCGGUAAUACGUAGGUGGCAAGCGUUGUCCGGAAUUAUUGGGCGUAAAGCGCGCGCAGGCGGUUUCUUAAGUCUGAUGUGAAAGCCCCCGGCUCAACCGGGGAGGGUCAUUGGAAACUGGGAAACUUGAGUGCAGAAGAGGAAAGUGGAAUUCCAAGUGUAGCGGUGAAAUGCGUAGAGAUUUGGAGGAACACCAGUGGCGAAGGCGACUUUCUGGUCUGUAACUGACGCUGAGGCGCGAAAGCGUGGGGAGCAAACAGGAUUAGAUACCCUGGUAGUCCACGCUGUAAACGAUGAGUGNUAGUAGUUAGUAGGGUUACCGGUCCCGUUUACGUUGUCUGUAAGUUAACGUACAUUAAGACACUCCGCCGUCGGGAGGUACGGUCGGCGAAGACGAGUAAACGUACGAAAGAAAGUUAGUACGGCGUUGAGACGUUGCGACGGACGACGACGAGGGAGGAGG
rnacentral:rRNA from 1 species